AACACUCGCUAUGUGUUUACAGUUAAUAAAUUUGUAAUAAGACCAGAGCUAGGUUCGGCUACUGGAGUAGUGAGAAGUGUAGUUUGAAUUAAUGACCACAGACCAAAGAAAAUUAAGUUAAAACAGUCGGCUUAUUAUUAGUUUAAAGAACAAUAAAAGAAUAAACAACAACAAUGUUACACAAUUAACACACAAUGACACAAAUUCAAAAAAAAGAAAAAUAGUUUCCAGUUCCUUUCAGAGUAUUUUAUAAAUCUAAAUUAAGGAUACUAUUUAUUUUACCUAGGUUAUAGUUCUAUUUAGGUUCUAGUUAAUACUAUUUAUCUAUUUUGAUUUACAGUUUGUUUUAAUCUGUUUAAUCUAUUUUAAUUCUUUGGUGUUUCCCUUAAGGAGUUAAAAAAAAAAAAACAAUAACAGCAAAACAACAACACAGCAGAACAAUUCAGAAAGGACAGAUCAAACUGUGCUUCAGAUUGAUGUCUUGUUUCUUCCGAUGAUCCAACAGUUAAUUCUGUUUCAGUGACCCACUGCUAAUACGCAUGACAACAUGGGCAGGUCAUACCAAAUUGCAGGGUUGGCAAUGUCCAGCAGAAGGCGUAGCUCCUACUUGAUGGUCUUUAGCUCCAGGGUUGGCUCGCCAUCUCGUUCUCCUUAGGAAGAUCCAGUUCAGUGAUGAUCCGAGACUCUUUAGGAAGGUUCAGUUCAGUGAUGAUCCGAGACUCUUUAGGAAGAUCCAAUUCAGCGAUGAUCCGAGACUCUUUAGGAAGAUCCAAUUCAGCGAUGAUCCGAGACUCCUUAGUCCAAAUCCCAGCCGAACGAAAACAAAACAACAACAACAACAAAAAAAGCCUGUUGCCAACAAAGAGCGACAGUUAGCAACAGUUAGCUCCUCUGCUGAUAAGCCGUUGAAUUUCUGUUGACAAGAGCAGCUGUUAGCUUCAGCGGAUCAGCUGUUACUCCUGUUGACUUUCAGUUGGCUUGCUCCUCCGCUUCAGCUUUCCAUUUAAAUUAAAUAAAUGUUUAACAAAUACAUUAUCUUAAAAAAAGAAACAAAAGAAACAAAAUACACUUUCAACUCACCAAGUCCAGUUCCACAACACAAAAAAAAUGAUCCCGAACGCAGUCAGGGUGAGA